CCUACGGGAUGCAGCAGUGAGGAAUAUUGGUCAAUGGGCGCGAGCCUGAACCAGCCAAGUCGCGUGAGGGAAGACGGCCCUACGGGUUGUAAACCUCUUUUGCCGGGGCGCAACGGGCGCCACGUGUGGCGCCACUCAGAGUCCCCGGAGAAAAAGCAUCGGCGAACUCCGUGCCAUCAGCCGCGGUAAUACGGAGGAUGCGAGCGUUAUCCGAAUUUAUUUGGUUUCAAGGGUGCGUAGGCGGAUCGUUAAGUCAGUGGUCAAAUUGAGGGGCUCAACCCCUUCCCGCCAUUGAAACUGGCGCUCUUGAGUGGAAGAGAAGUAUGCGGAAUGCGUGGGGUAGCGGUGAAAUGCAGAGAUAUCACGCAGAACCCCGAUUGCGAAGGCAGCAUGCCGGCUUCCGACUGACGCUGAAGCACGAAAGCGUGGGGAUCGAACAGGAUUAGAUACCCUAGUAGUC
rnacentral:rRNA from 1 species